UAACGGCGAGUGAAGCGGCAACAGCUCAAAUUUGAAAUCUGGCUCUUUAGAGUCCGAGUUGUAAUUUGCAGAGGGCGCUUUGGCUUUGGCAGCGGUCCAAGUUCCUUGGAACAGGACGUCACAGAGGGUGAGAAUCCCGUACGUGGUCGCUAGCUAUUGCCGUGUAAAGCCCCUUCGACGAGUCGAGUUGUUUGGGAAUGCAGCUCUAAAUGGGAGGUAAAUUUCUUCUAAAGCUAAAUAUUGGCCAGAGACCGAUAGCGCACAAGUAGAGUGAUCGAAAGAUGAAAAGCACUUUGGAAAGAGAGUCAAACAGCACGUGAAAUUGUUGAAAGGGAAGCGCUUGCAGCCAGACUUGCUUGCAGUUGCUCAUCCGGGCUUUUGCCCGGUGCACUCUUCUGCAGGCAGGCCAGCAUCAGUUUGGGCGGUGGGAUAAAGGUCUCUGACACGUUCCUUCCUUCGGGUUGGCCAUAUAGGGGAGACGUCAUACCACCAGCCUGGACUGAGGUCCGCGCAUCUGCUAGGAUGCUGGCGUAAUGGCUGUAAGCGGCCCGUCUUG
rnacentral:rRNA from 1 species